ACCUGACUCCAUUCCGAACUCAGAAGUGAAACGUAUUAGCGCCGAUGGUAGUGUGGGGUCUCCCCAUGUGAGAGUAGGACACUGCCAGGU
rnacentral:rRNA from 1 species